rnacentral:lncRNA from 1 species
CUGCACUCCCCGAAAUGUCGUCUAUUACACUGUUGACAUUCAAGUUUAUUAUUUCGAACACUUUCCGCACUCGCUACAUAAGUCGCCUGAGAUCUCAAAUUCAAAUGUUACUUCCCUUUAUCUUUUUCCGAGAAUCUUACUGAAGCUGAGGUACGACUCUGAAAUUCCUUUGAUUUCUUCGAUCGAGACGACAAUGAUUUUCCUAUAGGUCGUUUACCAUAGUCAUGAGCCUCAAAAUCCAUUUUUCUUUGAGCUUUACUA